UCCGGUUUGUCACCGGCAGUCUCAUUAGAGUGCCCUUUCGUAGCAACUAAUGAUAAGGGUUGCGCUCGUUGCGGGACUUAACCCAACAUCUCACGACACGAGCUGACGACAGCCAUGCAGCACCUGUGUUCUGGCUCUCUUUCGAGCACUCCCGCAUCUCUACAGGAUUCCAGACAUGUCAAGCGUAGGUAAGGUUUUUCGCGUUGCAUCGAAUUAAUCCACAUCAUCCACCGCUUGUGCGGGUCCCCGUCAAUUCCUUUGAGUUUUAAUCUUGCGACCGUACUCCCCAGGCGGUCUACUUCCCGCGUUAGCUGCGUUACCAAGGAAAUUAAUCCCCGACAACUAGUAGACAUCGUUUAGGGCGUGGACUAC
rnacentral:misc_RNA from 1 species